rnacentral:piRNA from 1 species
UGCAACAUAGGGGACAGCCACGUCU